UCCUAGACUCUCCCACCAUAGGAAACAUCCUCUCCCCAUCCACUCUAUCUGUGUCCUCUGGUCCUAGACUCCCCCACCAUAGGAAUCAUCCUCUCCCCAUCCACUCUAUCUGUGUCCUCUGGUCCUAGACUCCCCCACCAUAGGAAACAUCCUCUCCCCAUCCACUCUAUCUGUGUCCUCUGGUCCUAGACUCCCCCACUAUAGGAAACAUCCUCUCCACAUCCACUCUGUCUAGGCCAUUCAAUAUUCAAUGAGAACCCUCUCAUACUUCUAAACUCCAGUGAGCACAGGCCCAGGGCCAUCAAACACUCCUGAUACAUUAACCCUUUCAUUCCUAGGAUCAUUCUUCUGAACCGCCUGUGGACCAAUACCAACACAUCCUUUCUAACUUCACAGUAUUCCAAGUGUGGCCUGACCAAUGCCUCAUUAAGCCUCAGCAUUACAUCCUUGUUCUUAUAUUCUAUAAAAGAUGUGGUCAGAAAGAAAAGACACAUGAGAGGAAAGUAGGCAGCCCACACCCCCUCUGUCACGGAGUCCUCAUCUCCACCUCUGUAACAUCCCCUGCCUCUUCCUUGCCACUACUGGCUGCCGACUGGAUUGCUCCUACCGUCUGGUACCCCCCCCCCCCCCCCCCACCCCAGACACCACUUCUGCAGCUGACAUAAGGGAGAGGCUGUUGGAAUGUUUAUGUACCAAUGUUAUUGCAUAAACAUUGAUCUUGGGACACAGUGAGCAAAGAACAAUACUGCACAGGAACAGGCUCAUUGUCCCUCAAUGUCUGUGCCAAACACUAUGCCAAAUUAAACUAAAUCUCCUCUGUCCACACAUCAUCCACCUCCCUCCAUGUAUUUCUGAGCUGCUGCAACUAGGCUUUUCAUUGCAAUGCACACAGAAUGCUGCAGGAACUCAGCAAGUCGGGCAGCGCUUGGGGGGGGGGGGGAUAAACAGCCAGCAUUUCGGACCAAGACCCUUAAUCAGGAAGGGGGCAGAAGCCAGGAUAAGAAGGUGGAGGGAAUGGGAGGAAUACAAGCUAGCAGGUGGUAGGUGAGACCCAGUGAAGGGGCAGGAGGUGGGUAAGAGAUAAAAGGCUGAAGAAGUGAACGAUGGAAGGAGGAAGGGAACCAGAGCAUCUCACCUGUCCGUAUGUGUGCUUGUGCACGUGACAAUGACAAGGUCGGAUUCAGUUUCAGAUUUAUUCAUUCAUAGUUCAAAGUAAAUUAAUUAUCAGUGUCCAUACUGUAGUCUCGCAGGUGUUCAUAGAACCACAGUAGAAUCAAUGAAAAACUACACAACAAAAACUAAUAAUGUGCAAAAGAAAACAAAUUGUGCAGAUAUCAAGAAAGAAAAGAAAAUAAUAACUGAGUAAUAAAAAUUAAGAACCUGAUUUGUGGAAUCCUUGAAGGUGAGUAAUGUACAAAAUCAGUUCAGUGUUGGGGUGAGUGAAGUUAUCCACACAGAUUCAGGAACCUGAUGUUUGAGGGACAAUAACUGUACCUGAACCUGGUGGAGUGGGAUCUGAGACUCCUGUACCUCCUUGCUGAUGGCAGCUGUGAAAAGAGAAUUUGCCCUGGAUGGUGAGGGUCCUCAAAGAUAGACGCCGUUUUCCUGCGGCAGCACUGCUUGUAAAUUUGCUCACUGGUGGGAGGGCUUUACCUGUGAUGACUGGUAGAGAUAGACUGUAUCGAUUACUUUUUGUAGACUUUUCCGUUCAAGGGCAUUGGUGUUUCCCUACCAGAUUGUGAUUCAACCAGUCAAUAUACUCUCUACCACGCAUCUAUAGAAAUUUGUCAAAGUUUUAAAGUAUGUGUUGAAUCUUCACAAACCUCCAAGAAAUCAGAGGCACUGCCAUGCUUUCUUCAUAAUGACACUUAAGUGCUGGCCUAGGACAGAUUCUGUGAGAUGAUAAUGCCCGAUCCCUAAUGAAAGCUGGCUCUGGUUUCCUCCUCCUGUAGUCAGUAAUCAACUCUUUGGUCUUGCUGACAUUGAGUGAGAGAUUGCUGUUGUGGCACCAUUCAGCCAGAUUUUCAAUCUCCCUCCUGUAACAAACAAUGAAAUUCACCUUUUGUGUUAUCAACCAACUCAACCUAAUGAUACGCUGGGAACAGCCCGCUAGAGUCGUGAUGCACCAUCAAUAACUCUUGGAGAUGGGAGGCGAACGAUAGACUUUUAUUAGCUGCAAGAGACCACCACACGACAUCCUGGAAACUGAGGGAGGAGCAGUGCCUCCGAUCGCCUUUAUACAGGGGUCUGUGGGAGGAGCCACAGGAGCAGUCAGCAGAGGGGCAUGUCCAGACAGGUAAAUGUAGUUCACCACAAGUCGUCACACAUUCCAUGUCCACAAGGCUCGUAGAACAACACAAGCAACAACAACACCAGAACAAUAGCAGCCCGCGAUGCUGCCUGACUUCUGUUAAGCCCUGCCAUUGCUUGAUGGCUGGUCUGGAACUGCCUCUUCAUCUUUGAUGGCUUUACGGAAGUGAUAUCUGGAUUUUUUUUAAAUAAAGGUCGGGGACACCUGAUUUGAAUGCCGUAUUCCUGAAUUUCAGUAGGGAAUGGACCUCCUUGUUUAUCCAUGGUCUCCAGUUUGGGGGGGACACCUGGACUGAACUCUUUAGUACCCAGUUCUUUACACACAUUGAUAAAGUCCGUGGUUGUGGUGAGUGACCCAAAGUAGUCACACAGAAACUCCUCAGUCUUUUCAGACCUGUACCGUAAAAACUUCCUUUACUAGAUGAUCACGUUUCAGCUUCUGUUUGUACACAGGGAGAAGGAGCAGAGCCUGGUGGUCUGAGUUACUGAAGUGUGGUUUGGGGCGGCUGGAUUGGUAGGUAUGUCAGUUGACUAUGUAGCAAUAGUCAGAGGUGUUUAGGCCCCUGGUGGGACAGGAGGCAUGCUGGUAGUAUUUUGGUAACCCAGUCUUGAAGUGGCCUGGUUAAAGUCUCUGGCAAUGAAGAAGAGAGCCUCAGGGUAUCUCCCAUUCCAGGCUUCACAGUUCAUUGUCAGGAAUAUUAGCUCUUUACAGCAGCAUCACAAUCCAUUACAAACAUCUCAAACACACAUUAAUUUAAAUGAAAAUAAAUUAUACAUAACUUGCACAACAAAUUAAACGUCAUGACUCCAGACCAGAUGAUUGGAAUUUUACUGUUGGUCGCACUGCUCUUCUCCACCUCUCACUCAAAACCUUCAAAGUUCAAAGUAAAUUUAGAGUAGUCACCAUAGACUACCCUGAGAUUUAUUUUCUUGUGGGCAUUUUCAGUAGAAUAGAGGAAUGCAAUAGAAUCAAUGAAAAACUACACUCAAACAUCCAGGGUUAAUGAUAAAAACACCAAAUGCUGGCAGAACUCAGCAGGCCAGACAGUAUCUAUGGGAGGAGGUAGUGACGACGUUUUGGGCCGAAACCCUUCAUCAGGGUUAUUGACUCUGGUUUGAUGUAGUGCUACAGAUUUCAACCCCCACCCCCACCCCCACCAUCCAUGAUGUUAUUUCUCUCCUGAAGUCAAACAGCACAAUGUUUUCUUUUGAUAGUAUUUUUCCUUUCAUUGUUGCCCACAGCAAUUUCUAAGAAAUUAAUCUUCAUAUCUUUUCCGAACUGCAUAUCACUCUUCAACCAAUCCAUUUGCGCCUCUCGGAGGAGCUGUCAACUGAGCUGGUUAACGCUUUACAUUCCCUAGUUAACCCUUUCUUAUUGUAAGCAAAUCUGCUCAGUCCUUCGAUUAGCAUGAAGUGAAUUAUAAACGUACCUUGGGACUGUGAGUUUGUAAGGGAAGCUGCUUUACAUAGAGGCGGCUGUUAUACAAUAUGUGCUUGUGUUUCCAUAAUUGUUGUAGUUAAAUGAUUGGAAUAAUAGACAGUGACUAAGACAACAAUACAGCAGAAGGCAAAUCCAAUGACCGCCUUUAGCCGACCUUCACACACCUGGUGAGGUCAUGACAAGGCCCCACAGCUACAGUAGACAACUCCUACAUACAACAACCUGACCAGCUCACAGGUCCUCCCUCCUGCCCUAUAACAAGCCAACAAGCAUUUUAUUUUUAUUACCUAUUUAUUUUAUUUAGUGAUACAGGCCUUUCUGGACCGAUGAACUGCAUCACAACCCACCUAUUUUACACUUGCCUAAUGACAGGGCACUUAAUGAUUGCCAGUCAACCUAAUAACUGGUACAUCUUUGGAAUGUGGCAGGAGACUCACGUAUUCAUAAUGGGAAGGCCAUACAAACUUUUUACAGUCAAUAUCAGAAAUGAAGUCCGAACUCCACCCAGAGCUGUAAUCACACAACCCCAGGUUUGUCAAUGAUCCUUUGUCCCAGUAGAUGAAGAUGACAUGCAGGGUACCUUUAAGAGAGUGAAUCCAAGAAAAGCAUCCAGACCAGACAGUGUACCUGGCUGAGUACUGAAGACCUGUGCUGACCAACUGCCGGCGUGUUCACAGUAUCACCAACCUCUCGCUCUGGCAAUGUGUGGUACCCACCUGCUUCAAGCAGGCUUCAAUCAUACUCGUGCCCAAGAAGAGAGUGGUAGUCUGCCUCAGUGACUAUCGCCUAGUGACACUUGCAUCCACAGUGUUGUAGCAUAUCAGCUUAUGUCUGAGUGGGGACUUGGAUCUGCUCCAAUUUGCAACAGCAACAGGUCUACAACAGAUGCCAUCUCAUUGGCUCUUCACACAGCUCUGGAACAUCUGGACAGAAAAGAUGCAUACAUCAGGAUGCUCUUUAUUGACUACAGCUCAGCAUUUAAUACUGUCAUCCCCUCAAAACUAAUCAGUAAGCUUGAAGGCCUGGGCCUCAAUACUCCCUGUGUAAUUGGAUCCUGGAAUUCCUCACUUGCAGACCCCAGUCAGUCCGGAUUGACAAAGCGUCUCCUCCACAAUCCCCAUCAACACUGCAGGGAUGUGUGCUUAGUCCUCUGCUCUACUCACUUUACACCUAUGACCGUGUGGCCAAGUAUGACUCCAACACCAUGUACAAGUUUGCUGAGACACCACGGUUGUGGGCUGUGUCAAAGGUGGUGAUGAAUCAGGAGGGAGAGUCAACAUUUGACUGAGUGGUGUAAUAACAACCACCUCUCACUUGAUGUCAAUAAGACGAGGAACUGACUGUAGACUUCAGGAGAGGGAAACCAGAGCUCCAUGAGCCAGUAAUCAUUGGAAUAUCAGAGGUGGGGAGGGUCAGUAACUUUCAAUUCCUAGGUGUCACUAUCUCAGAGGACCUGUCCUGGACCCAGAUAAUUGCAAAGAAGCACAACAGCACCUCUACUUCCUCAGGAGUCUGCGGAGAUUCGGCAUGUCAUCAAAAACCUUGGCAAACUUCCAUAGAUGUGAGGUGGAAAUUGUGCUGACUGGCUGCAUUACAGUCUGGUAUGGGAACACUAAUUCCUCCGAGGGGAAAAUCCCACAAGCGGUAGUGGAUUUGGCCCAGUACAUCAUGGGUAAAACACUCCCAACUAUUGAGUGCAUCCACAUGAAACAUUGCCUUAGAAAAGCAGCAUCCAUCAUCGAAGAUCCUCACCACCCAGGCCGUGCUCUUUUCUCACUGCUACCAUCUGGUAGGAGGUACAAGAGCCUCAGGACUCACAGCAACGGGUUCAAUAACAAUUACUGCCCCUUAGCCAUCAGGCUCUUGAACGAAAGGGGGUAGCUACAGUCACUCUAUUUAUGAUAUUUCCACAACUAGUGGACUCACUUGAGCGACUCUUUAUCUUGUUAUUUCAUGCUUGUUAGUUAUUGCUAUUUAUUUAUAUUUGCUUUUGCACAGUUCCGUUCAUUGAUCGUGUUUACUGUUACUGUUCUAUAGAUUUGCCAAGUAUGCCCACAGGAAAAUGAAUCUCAGGGAUGUAUGUCGUGACAUAUGCUGCCUGCCUGCUGAGUUCCUUUACCAUCCAUCGGGUGUGCCUGCCGGUUGUACGGUUCGUGAAGUUGGGUUUCCAGCUGGCCUGCAGGGGGCAGUGCUGGACACCAUCUGCAGCGGAGUGAAACUCACCAACUGUUUCACUGUUCUGAGUCACUUCGGCAGACUGAACCAUGUUUAUUUCCCUAGUAACCAAAGACCGACCACAUAGGCUGCCUGCCUCCCAGCCUGAGGUGCCCUGGGGUGGAUUUUCAUGUGACGCCAAGCCCUUCCGAUUACUUCCAGCAGGAAAUCCAGUCUUAAUCCAGUUCUAAACGCGAGGGAGAGAGAGAAUUAAACAGAAAGAAAUAGAGUGAAAGAAAGAAAAGGAAAAUUAGAAAUAGAAAGAACUAGAGAGUGAGAGAGAGAGAGAGAGAGACAGACAGACAGAAAGAAAAAGUUGCCCCUCAGGUUCCUUUAAAACCUUUCCCCUCUUGUCGCACACCUAUGUCCCCUAGUUAAGGAUUUCCCUACCCUGAUGAAAAGACAGUCAGUCCGCCUAUCGUAAUUUUAAAUGUUUCUGUAAUGCCACCCCUCACUUGUCAACGUUCAUUUGGUCCUAACGACAUCCUCAUAAAUUGGCCCAACUCCCACACUCCCCCAAUUAGUGUCCAAUAGCCCCCUGAUUCCCACCCACAAAGAGUCAUAGAAAGAGGCCUUUUGGCCCAUUCUGUCAAUGCUGACCAGCAUGCCCAUCUGUACUAAUUCAACUUGCCUGCAUUAAUUCCGUAUCUCUCUUUUCCUGGCUCAUUGAAGUACCUGUACCGAUGCCCUUUCAACAUUGUUAAUGUUUCUGCCCCGACCACCUCUUCUGGCAACUCGUUCCAGAUCUCUAAGUGAAAAAAAAUCCCUCAAAUUCCCUUUAAACCUACUCCCUCUCACCUUACCCCUGUGUCCUAUGGUCUCAGACACCACUACUGUAAGAAUCAGACUCUUCCUAUGUACCUGGACUUUCAGAGGGCCUUUGACAAGGUGCCACACACGAGGCUGCUUACCAAACUACGAGCCCAUGGUAUUACAGGAAAGAUUCUAACAUGGAUAAGGCAGUGGCUGAUUGGCAGGAGGCAAUGCGUGGGAAUAAGGGAGGCUUUUCUGGUUGGCUGUGGUGUUCCACAAGGGUCUGUGCUUGGACCGAUUCUUUUUACUUUAUAUGUCAAUGGUGGAAUUGAUGGCUUUGUUGCAAAGUUUGCAGACGAUAUGAAGAUAGGUGGAGGGGCAGAUAGUUUUGAGCAAGUAGCGAGGCUACAGAAGGACUUAGACAGAUUGGGAGAAUGGACAAGGAAAUGGCAGAUGGAAUACACGGUCAUGUACACAGGGAAGUGUACGGUCAUGUACUUUGAUAGAAGAAAUGAAAGAGUUGACUAAGUGGAAAGAAAAUACAAAAAACUGAGGCACAAAGGGACUUGGGAGUCCUUGUGCAGGAUUCCGUAAAGGGUUCAUUUGCAGGUUGAGUCUGUGGGGAGGAAGGCAAACGCAAUGUUAGCAUUUACACACAUACUUACUGUAAUUCAGUUUUCUUUUUCUCUCGAAUAUCAUUGUACACCUGCUACAAAGUUAACAGAUUUCACAAAGAUGCUGAUUGUGAUUGCCGUGGCAGCAUCUCCUGUAGAUGCUAUCAAUGUGAUGUACCGGGCUGGGCCCACUACCCUGCAGCUUUUUACAUUCCUGUGCAUUCAACUUUCCACCUGCUUUAAGGAGGUAUUAUCCCAAUAGCUAAUAAAAAGAAGGCAACAUGCCUUAAUGAUUACUGCCCGAUUGCUGUGACAGACACCGUCACAAAGUGCCUCGAGAGUUUGUUGGUGCCACACGUGAACUCCAGUCUCCCAGACAAGUCAGCCAACUGCAAUUUGCCUGCUGCCAAAACAGGUAUAUGGCAGGUACCAUCUCUCUGGAGCUAAAGUCAUCGCUGGAGCAUGUAGGCAGUAAAGAUACCUAUGUCAGACUAUUGUUUAAUGACCAGAGCACUGCUUUCAAUGGCACAAUUCCACACAAACUCAUCUCCAAACUCCUAGACCUGGGACCCAACAACUCCCUUUGCAACUGGAUCCAUGACUUCUUGAUUAACAGCCCACAAUCAGUAAUGACAGGCAGUAGAACUUCCACCUCUUUACAUUGCGGUGCUCCCUCCUCAACGCCCCUCCAACAACAGAGCUCCUUCCUCAAUGCCCCUUCCACAGUGCAGAGCUCCCUCCUCAACGCCGCUUCCAGAAUGUAGUGCUCCCUCCUCUCCCACAGCGAGAUGCUCCCUCCUCUGGCUCCAAGUGAGAUGCUCCCUCAUAAACACCCCUUCCACGGUGCAGAGCUCCCUCCUCAACACCGCUUCCAGAGUGUAGUGCUCCCUCCUUCCCUCCCCUCCCACAGCGAGAUGCUCCCUCCUCACUGACCCUACAAGUGAGACGCUCCCUCCUCAACACCCCUUCCACAGAGCUCCCUCCUCAACGCCACUUCCAGAGUGUAGUGCUCCCUCUUUCCCUCCCCUCCCACAGCGAGAUGCUCCCUCAUCACUGCCCCUCCCAGUGAGACGAUCCCUAUCACCCCCCCACAGUGAGACACUCCCUCCUCACCGCCCAUCCCACAGCGAGAUGCUCCCUCUUCACCACCAUUCCCACAAUGAAAUGCUCCCUCCUCACCGCUCCUCCCACAGCGAGACGCUCCCUCGUCACCACCCCACAGCGAGACGCUCCCUCGUCACCACCCCACAGCGAGACGCUCCCUCGUCACCACCCCACAGCGAGAUGCUCCCUCCUCACCCCCCCACCCCCCCACAGCACAGUGGGCUUUCGGUAAUUCUCUUGAUCAGGACUCCAUCAGGAAGUCUAUAAUGGCCGUGCUGGAUCGAGCUGCCCCAGAUGUGCAUCACUGGCUGGGAAUAUAGUUUAUGUUGGAUUCAGUAAGGAAUUGGACUGUUUUCCUGAAUUAGCAUCAGGAAUUUCUCAUUGUUUUAUUUCUGGCUCUCCCAGGAGGACUGUCUGCAGAAUGGCAGAGCUUGAAACCAAGCUUCUACAGGCUUCUCUCUGACAUUCCUUCGUCUAUUCCCUUGACAGAGCCCUCCUGAAUCCUGUGUUUCCCAGUGAGUAGCCCCUGCCCACCCCCUUCGCAGGCGAUGCAUCCUAGAUGGAAAUGAUUAACUAUGGAAAAACAUCCAGUUUUCUUUUGCCGCUUCAAUUAUCUCAGAUCUGGGAGCGGCUCACUGGAAUGUGAGAGUCACUGAUGGUGGGGCAGACAGACAAAACACACAGAGGUGUUCACUGUAGAAGAAAGAAAUACAAUAGAAUCAAUGGAAAACUACACACAAUGGAGACUGAGAAACAACCAGUGUGCAAAAGAAGACAAACUGUAAAUGUAAUAAUAAAUAAUAUUGUUAACAUGAAUUGUAGAGUCCUUCAA